rnacentral:tRNA from 1 species
GGGAAAGUGGCUCAGUGGUAGAGCGCUUGCCUUACAUGCACGAGGCUCUGGGUUCAAUUCCUCAGCACCA